UGCUAUUAUCAGCCCCGGCACUGCCUCCUUCACGUGAAGGCGCCGGGGCAGCCAAUCCGGAGGACCACGAGGCUCCUGCCAGCCAAUCAGCGCCGGGCUGGUGAAACGUGAUCCUUUGGCCUGCAGGCGGUGGGAGCCCGGCUUGAUCGGCUCAUGGUCAGCCCCUGCCGGGCAGCCAGGCCUAAGGAAAGCAGCCCCUGGAAGGCGUGAUUGAUUGGCACUCAGCGCUGCCCAGAAACAUCCGGGGUACUCCGUAGAAUGGAUUGCAGUCUGGCAGCAAUGUUGAGCUGCUAGGGCUCCAUGCUAAGGAAUCCUGGGACCUGUGAUGGCUGGGGAUGCUGGGACUUUGGGACUGCAACAUCCCCCAGCAGGCCAUGGUGACUGAGACACUGGGAGAAGGAAAGGACACUGUGACUGGGAACACUGGGAGGUUGGGAUCGUGACUCCCAACAUGUCCAACAUACCAUACUGGACAUUGGGAUUGCAGUUGUAACAUCCCCAGCAGACCAUAGUGACUGUGCAUAAUGGAAAUUGGGAUUGCAGCUCUCAACAUCCCCAGCAGACCAUGAUAACCGGGCAUAUUGGAAAUGGAGUUUGCAGCUCUCAACAUCCCCAGCAGACCAUGGUGACCGGGCAUACUGGAAAUUGGGCCUACAACUUCCAACAUCCCCACACCAUCGUGACUGUGCAUACUGGUAAUUGGGAUUGCAACUCCCAACAUCCCCAGCAGACCAUGGUGGUGAGUGGUCAUACUGGUAUUUGGGAUUGCAGCUUCCAACAUCUCCAGACCAUGGUGACUGUGCAUACUGUUAAUUAGGUAGGACUGCAGCUCCCAACAACUCCAGCAGACCAUGGUGAGUGGUCAUACUGGAGUUUGGGAUUGCAGCUUCCAACAUCCCCAGACCAUGGUGACUGUGCAUACUGGUAGUUAGGAUUGCAACUUCCAACAUCCCCAGCAGACCAUAGUGAGUGGGCAUACUGGAAAUUGAGAUUGCAGCUCUCAACAUCCUCAACAGACCAUGGUGACUGUGCAUACUGGUAACUGGGAUUGCAACUCCCAGCAUCCCCAGCAGACCAUCGCGACUGGGAAUACUGGAAAUUGGGAUUGCAGCUCCUAACAUCCUCAGCAGAUCAUCGCGUUUGGGCAUCCUGGGAAGCUGGGACUACAGCUCCCAAGAUUCCUAGCAUACCAUAGUGACUGGGGAGACUGGGUGUUUGGCCACAUAAUAUCCCCAGCAGACCAUGUAACUGGACAUACUGCGAGUUUGGGAUUACGAUCCCCAGCAGACUGUGGUGACCAGUGAUACUGGGAGUUGCAGUUCUUAGGGGAAUCACUUCUCUGAGUUUGGCUCCAAGGUAACAUUCCAAGCUCCAAGAUCAUUCCUGAGGCACUUCCUCCAGAGGAGUCCUAAUGAGCCUGCAAGAUUGCUCCAAGGAACCCUGUGGUUAAAGGAGAAAAGGGUCUUUGCCCUUUCUUGUUUCUGGCGCCCCGUCCCAGGACUCAGCAAAACAUGUUCCAGAUGUUUCCUUUCGGUUCUUAUUAAUACAUUCUCUCAUCUCUCCAGAGGUUUCCAGUUUGUGUAAAAAAACAAAAAAACAAAACCAGUUGCAUUGUUUUCCUUGUUCAAGAAAAUUUCUUUCUUGGGAAGGAAGUGUGACGGGCAGAAAUUCCACGGAGGAUGCUCAUCUGUUCCACUGUAAUGCUAGCAAAGAGAUCCCUGGGCAUAUUACUGCCUGUUGUGCAGCGACCCAGCCAGAAGAAAACCUACAAAGUCCUUUCAUCCUUAGAUAAAAUAGGUGCAAAAGAUGGAGAUAGAAGACCCAACUUCCUUGGAAUCUCAAUACUGUAGACCAGCAUUCCCACUCCGGUGCCCUCCAGAAGGAUUGGACUACAGAUUCCACAACCCAUAAUCAUUACUGGUUGGAGAUUGUGAAGAUUGCAAAGUAGCAGCAGAGUCUGAUAUGGUACGACCCCUACAUCCGCAGAGAAUAUGCUCCCGGACUUCGGGUGGAUAAGCAAAACUGCAGGUAAUCACAAAUUUUAUUGAAAUAAAGGAUUUCAGGCUCAAGAAUAUCAUAGUCUUGCUGAUGGAACAAGAAUAUGCCUAGUGAUUGGAUAUUUUGUUACACAUGGCAGCUCUACAUGAGGAGCCUUUGAAGACUGUUCGGAAGCUUCAAGUGGUCCAACGAGGGGCAGCCAGGUUGCUCACCGGAGUGACGUACAAAGAGAUACAACUCACCUGUUAUGUCAGCUCCACUGCCUGAUGGUCGGCUACCUAGCAUAAUUGAUAGUACUGGCUUUAGCCUAUAAAGCUCUAAACAGCUCCAGUCCAACUUACUUGUCCGAACAUAUCUCUCUCUAUGAACCGGUUAGAGAGCUAAGAUCUGCGGGGGAGGCCCUGCCCUCAGUCCCAUCCCUUUCGCAAACGCAACUGAUGGGGAUGAGAGACAGGGCCUUCUCAGUGGUGACCCUUGGCUAUAGAACUCUCCCCCCAGCAAAAUCAGACUGGCUCCAUCCCUCCUAGUCUUUAGGAAAAGACUGGAAAUCUGGUUGUGGGAUCAGGUUUUUGGAUAGUUGUUGGGUGGUGCAACACAGAAUUGGCAAAACUGUAUCAAUGAAAAUGACUACACUUGGAUUUGGUAUUAAUUAGUAUUAUAAUUGUUUAUAUGUUUUUCUUGCGUUUUUGUAUAUAAUGUAUUGCUUUUUACCUUAUUGUAUAUGCGGCAUUGAAUAUUGUCGUGUUGUAAACUGCUUUGAGUCCCCCUUGGGGUGAGACAGGAAAGUGAGGAAUAAAUAUAGCAAAUAAAUAAAUCAAACCGUGGA